rnacentral:rRNA from 1 species
AUUGAACGCUGGCGGCAAGCCUAACACAUGCAAGUCGAACGAGUGGCGGACGGGUGAGUAAUGUCUGGGAAACUGCCUGAUGGAGGGGGAUAACUACUGGAAACGGUAGCUAAUACCGCAUACCAUCGGAUGUGCCCAGAUGGGAUUAGCUAGUAGGUGGGGUAAAGGCUCACCUAGGCGACGAUCCCUAGCGGGUCUGAGAGGAUGACCAGCCACGUUGGAAAUGAGCGACGGUCCAGACUCCUACGGGAGGCAGCAGGGGUGAAUAUUGCACAAUGGGCGCAAGCCUGAUGUAGCCAUGCCGCGUGUAUGAAGAAGGCCUUCGGGUGGUAAAGUACUUUCAGCGGGGAGGCGUUACCCGCAGAAGAAGCACCGGCUAACUCCGUGCCAGCCGCCGCGGUAAUUC